CAAUGUGAGAUGCAGUGUAUGGAAUGUCAAAUUUCUAGUAUGAGAAAUUAACGAUUUAAGUCCUUCUUAAAUGAGGCCAUUUACCCAAAGAGGGUGCCAGGCCCGUAUAACGUUAAUGAUUACUAGAUGGCAUUUCCAAAGAGUCGUGUUGCUUGAUAGUGCAGCACUAAGUGGGUGGUAAACUCCAUCUAAAACUAAAUAUAACCAUGAGACCGAUAGUAAACAAGUACCGUGAGGGAAAGU
rnacentral:rRNA from 1 species